GAUGAACGCUGGCGGCGUGCCUAAUACAUGCAAGUCGAGCGAAUGGAUUCAGAGCUUGCUCUUAUGAAGUUAGCGGCGGACGGGUGAGUAACACGUGGGUAACCUGCCCAUAAGACUGGGAUAACUCCGGGCAACCGGGGCUAAUACCGGAUAACAUUUUGAACCGCAUGGUUCGAAAUGGAAAGGCGGCUUCGGCUGUCACUUAUUGAUGGACCCGCGUCGCAUUAGCUAGUUGGUGAGGUAACGGCUCACCAAGGCAACGAUGCGUAGCCGACCUGAGAGGGUGAUCGGCCACACUGGGACUGAGACACGGCCCAGACUCCUACGGGAGGCAGCAGUAGGGAAUCUUCCGCAAUGGACGAAAGUCUGACGGAGCAACGCCGCGUGAGUGAUGAAGGCUUUCGGGUCGUAAAACUCUGUUGUUAGGGAAGAACAAGUGCUAGUUGAAUAAGCUGGCACCUUGACGGUACCUAACCAGAAAGCCACGGCUAACUACGUGCCAGCAGCCGCGGUAA
rnacentral:rRNA from 1 species